rnacentral:rRNA from 1 species
CCUACGGGUGGCAGCAGUGGGGGAUAUUGGGCAAUGGGCGAAAGCCUGACCCAGCGACGCCGCGUGAGGGAAGAAGUCUUUCGGGUUGUAAACUUCUUUUAAGAGGGAAGAGCAAAAGACGGUACCUCUUGAAUAAGCCCCGGCUAACUACGUGCCAGCAGCCGCGGUAAUACGUAGGUGGCAAGCGUUGUCCGGAUUUACUGGGUGUAAAGGGCGUGUAGCCGGGCUGACAAGUCAGAUGUGAAAUCCGGGGGCUCAACCCCCGAACUGCAUUUGAAACUGUUGGUCUGGAGUCUCGGAGAGGCAGGCGGAAUUCCUAGUGUAGCGGUGAAAUGCGUAGAUAUUAGGAGGAACACCAGUGGCGAAGGCGGCCUGCUGGACGACAACUGACGGUGAGGCGCGAAAGCGUGGGGAGCAAACAGGAUUAGAUACCCUAGUAGUC